AGAGAAUUCUGAAUGAUCAACUGCAAGUGAUAUGACUUAUUUAAGUGUUUAGGUGUGGAUGCAAGGAGGUUGAAACAUAAACAGAAGAGAAUUCAAAACAUUUCCAGUGAAAGUGCAAGAAAAUAUUAAAGCACUGGCUAUUCUAAGGACAUUUUAUAUUCAUAAGACCGCCUGGAGAGCUCCCUAGUCCCUUCUGCCAUGUAAAGACACAGGAAGAAGAUGGUCAUCUAUAUAUCAGAAAGUAAGCUCUCACCAGACACCAGCUCUGCUUUGAUCUUUAACUUUGUUGCCUUGA